rnacentral:pre_miRNA from 1 species
UAGAAUGUUUUGACUAUUCGUUUUAUUUGAAUAUUUUUUAUGAUUAAUAUUUUUAUUAUUACUAGAUAAAAACUGAAUAGUAUUUUGUGCUUGACUAAUUUUUUUAAGUUUUUUAUAAAUUUUUCAAAUAAGACGAAUGAUCAAACUUUGGACAUAGAAAUCGA